rnacentral:rRNA from 1 species
AACGAACGCUGGCGGCAUGCCUAACACAUGCAAGUCGAACGAGACCUUCGGGUCUAGUGGCUCACGGUUGCGUCACGCGUGGGAACCUUCCCUUAUGUUCGGACUACCUCCCCGACAGGGGUGCUUAUACCGGAUCAUGUCUUCUGACCAAAGAUUUAUCGCCUUUGGUUGGGCCCGCGUUGGAUUAGCUCGUUGGUAGGGUAAAAGCCUACCAAGGCGACGAUCCAUAGCUGGUCUGAGAGGAUGAUCAGCCACACUGGGACUGAGACACGGCCCAGACUCCUACGGGAGGCAGCAGUGGGGAAUAGUGGAAAAUGGGCGAAAGCAUGAUCCAGCAAUGACGCGUGAGUGAUGAAGGCAGUAGGGUUGUAAAGCGCUUGUAACCGGGAUGAUAAUGACAGUACCGGGAGAAUAAGCUCCGGCUAACUCCGUG